rnacentral:tRNA from 1 species
AAAGGGAGACCUAAUUCGGGUAUGGGACGAAAAAAAAGUAGUCGCUACCAAGAAUCAAUCCCAAAAGGUCGGAGCGAGGCGAAAUUGGCUUUCAAACUAGGUUCUGGGUUCACACAAGACCUGAAUCAGGAACAAGGGCUAUUAGCUCAGGUGGUUAGAGCGCACCCCUGAUAAGGGUGAGGUCCCUGGUUCGAGUCCAGGAUGGCCCACCUGUACAGGUGGCAAAAACAAAGAAGCGAGGAAUCAGCACCUUAUCUUAUUUAUAUAGUAAGAGAGAAUGCUGGCUCUGAGUUCAGAGUCCAGAGGAACCUUGAAAACUGCAUAGAGCUAGGUGAAAAAGCCAAAAAAGAAGACCGCAAG